AUUGAACGCUGGCGGCGGGCCUAACACAUGCAAGUCGAGCGGAUGAAGGGAGCUUGCUCCUGGAUUCAGCGGCGGACGGGUGAGUAAUGCCUAGGAAUCUGCCUGGUAGUGGGGGAUAACGUCCGGAGACGGGCGCUAAUACCGCAUACGUCCUGAGGGAGAAAGUGGGGGAUCUUCGGACCUCACGCUAUCAGAUGAGCCUAGGUCGGAUUAGCUAGUUGGUGGGGUAAAGGCCUACCAAGGCGACGAUCCGUAACUGGUCUGAGAGGAUGAUCAGUCACACUGGAACUGAGACACGGUCCAGACUCCUACGGGAGGCAGCAGUGGGGAAUAUUGGACAAUGGGCGAAAGCCUGAUCCAGCCAUGCCGCGUGUGUGAAGAAGGUCUUCGGAUUGUAAAGCACUUUAAGUUGGGAGGAAGGGCAGUAAGUUAAUACCUUGCUGUUUUGACGUUACCAACAGAAUAAGCACCGGCUAACUUCGUG
rnacentral:rRNA from 1 species